rnacentral:rRNA from 1 species
GACGUAGGGCGCGAGCGUUUGUCCGGAUUUAUUGGGCGUAAAGAGCUCGUAGGCGGCUUGUCGCGUCGAAUGUGAAAUCUCAGGGCUCAACUCUGACAUUGCAUUCGAUACGGGCAGGCUAGAGUUCGGUAGGGGAGACUGGAAUUCCUGGUGUAGCGGUGAAAUGCGCAGAUAUCAGGAGGAACACCUGUGGCGAAGGCGGCCCCCUGGGCCGGCCCUGACACUGAGACGCGAAGGCGUGGGGAGCGAACGGG